rnacentral:rRNA from 1 species
CCUACGGGUGGCAGCAGUGGGGGAUAUUGCACAAUGGGGGAAACCCUGAUGCCGCGACGCCGCGUGUGGGAAGACGGUCCUCUGGAUUGUAAACCACUGUCCCCAGGGACGAAGAUGACGGUACCUGGGGAGGAAGCUCCGGCUAACUACGUGCCAGCAGCCGCGGUAAUACGUAGGGAGCGAGCGUUGGCCGGAUUUACUGGGUGUAAAGGGAGCGUAGGCGGGACUGCAAGUUGGGUGUCAAAUCUACCGGCUCAACCGGGAGCCGCACGCAAGAGUGCAGUUAGUGAGUGAAGUAGAGGCAGGCGGAAGUACUAGUGUAGCGGGGAAAUGCGUAGAUAUUAGGAGGAACACCAGUGGCGAAGGCGGCCUGCUGGGCUUUUACGGACGCUGAGGCUCGAAAGUGUGGGGAGCAAACAGGAGUAGAUACCCCUGUAGUC